rnacentral:rRNA from 1 species
AUUGAACGCUGGCGGCAGGCCUAACCCAUGCAAGUCGAGCGCGCGGCGGACGGGUGAGUAAUGCCUGUGAAUUGCCCAGUCGAGGGGGAUACCAGAUGGAAACGACUGCUAAUACCGCAUACGAUUUGAUUGACCAGGUGGUAUUAGCUAGUUGGUGAGGUAAUGGCUCACCAAGGCGACGAGCCCUAGCUGGGCUGAGAGGAUGAUCAGCCACACUGGAACUGAGAUAGGGUCCAGACUACUACGGGAGGCAGCAGUGGGGAAUAUUGCACGAUGGGUGAAACCCUGAUGCAGCCAUGCCGCGUGUGUGAAGAAGGCCUUCGGGUUGUAAAGCACUUUCAGCGAGGAGGCGUUGCUCGCAGAAGAAGCACCGGCUAACUCCGUGCCAGCAGCCGCGGUAAUUC